GGACCCGUGGCCCAAUUGGCAAGGCGUUUGACUACGAUUUGUGUCUUAUCACAUCAAAAGAUUGUGGGUUCGAAUCCCAUCGGGUUCA